AAGAUAUUAGUAAAAAUUACAUAACUUUGUCGAAGUUAAAUUAUAGGUGCAAGCCCUAUAUAUCUUU
rnacentral:tRNA from 1 species